rnacentral:misc_RNA from 1 species
ACUGCCUACACGUGGCUUCCCGAAAAUCAGUCACUGGGGAGAAGUCAACAAUGAUUGGGCGUCCUGCAUAAAAUCUUCCUGUAAGAUUCUGAAGCGCACUUGCAGCGUGAUCUUCCUCUCUGAACUGGACAUACACAUUACCAACCAUGUGGUCAGCUAAAUUGUCACAGAUGUUGAGGUUUUCAAUCUCUCCAUACUUGCUAAGCUCUUCAAAUAAAUCUUCAUAGAAGUCCUCGAAGUGACGCUGGAUCUGGCGAGGGUCAA